rnacentral:rRNA from 1 species
CAGCAGCCGCGGUAAUACGGAGGGUGCAAGCGUUAAUCGGAAUUACUGGGCGUAAAGCGUGCGUAGGCGGUUAUAUAAGACAGAUGUGAAAUCCCCGGGCUCAACCUGGGAAUUGCAGUGGAUACUGGGUCACUAGAGUGUGGUAGAGGAUAGUGGAAUUUCCGGUGUAGCAGUGAAAUGCGUAGAGAUCGGAAGGAACAUCUGUGGCGAAGGCGACUAUCUGGGCCAACACUGACACUGAGGCACGAAAGCGUGGGGAGCAAACAGGAUUAGAUACCCGGUAGUCCCUGUCUCUUAUACA